rnacentral:lncRNA from 1 species
GCCCCUCCCCCCACCCACUGUUGCUUGCACCCUCNNNNNNNNNNNNNNNNNNNUCUCCUCUUUGCCAGGCUUCCCCACUCCCUCGCCCCGUCGUUUCCCAGCUCCUUGUCCAUCUCCACUGUCAAUUCUUUGAUGCAGCUUCUUGCACGCCCGCUCUUGCACACGCAUUCUCCCCAGCACGUCCCCUGCUCUCUUGAAGCCGUCUUUUCGUCCUUAACUAGGCUCUUGCACCCCGCAGCCCUGCCUUGCACGCUCAUGCUUGAAUUUCUGGUUGUUCUUGGGUAACUUUUACCAUCUCUUGGAGAACUCUGCAGCCUCUUUCCUUUUGCACACUCAUCCCAUUCCACACGCUCUUGAGCCUGUAUUAUUGUUUCUUUUCCUGGCAGUUUUUUUUUCCUGCCCCCAAAGAUCAGAUCAUUUGCACUCUGCCUGUUCUCUUAGCUCUGGACACUUUUUCUGUCAAGAGAAGACCCUGUGCACUCUCAGUUCCUGCCCACUUUGCUUCCUCGCUUCCUCCUCUCCCCGCCCCAGUCUGCCAUCUCAGCUCCUCCCUCCUCUGACUUCCCGUCCAUCCAUUUUGCACGACGACACCGCCUCCCCCCCAUCUCCUAAAACUUUCCGUCUCUCCCAGAAACUCCUCCCUCCAGCAUGGCUGUCCCUUCCUGCACGCUUCCCUGUCCCUCUAUUCCUAGGGCUUGGAAAUUCUAAGCCACCCCCUUCCCCUGGAAAGCCCCCUCGCCUACUGUGGGCAAAAGGGGGAGGGCAUCGCCCCUGAUCCCCACCAUGUUCAGCUGCCAAAGAAGGGAGCUCCCCCUCCUUCCCCCAAGCCCAUUCCCCCUCUGCUGCCCCCUACCCCCGAGUGGGGGGGGGGGCGCUCCGUCCUUGGGGGGAGGGUGCUUGCAACCCUCCCUCCUUACCACGUCAGGGAUCUGCGGGGAACCUUGUGGGAGGGUCGUGGGAGGGGGGAGGGGUGGCGAGGAGAGGGGCGGAGGUCGCGCUGGGCCCCUACCCGCCCCCUCCCCCUUGUCGGAUGCCCCCCGUCCGCAGGGGGCCUGCGCGGCGCUCGUCUAUCAAGGGCUUGUUCAUUCUGGAUGGGUGCCGCGGGGUUGGGGAGGGUGU